AUUGAACGCUGGCGGCAGGCCUAACACAUGCAAGUCGAACGAGUGGCGGACGGGUGAGUAAUGUCUGGGAAACUGCCUGAUGGAGGGGGAUAAAUACUGGAAACGGUAGCUAAUAACGCAUACCAUCGGAUGUGCCAAGAUGGGAUUGGAUAGUUGGUGGGGUAACGGCUCACCGUGGCGACGAACCCUAGCUGGUCUGAGAGGAUGACCAGCCACACUGGAACGGAGACACGGUCCAGACUCCUACGGGAGGCAGCAGUGGGGAAUAUUGCACAAUGGGCGCAAGCCUGAUGCAGCCAUGCCGAGUGUAUGAAGAAGGCCUUCGGGUUGUAAAGUACUUUCAGCGGGGAGGCGUUACCCGCAGAAGAAGCACCGGCUAACUCCGUGCCAGCAGCCGCGGUAAUUC
rnacentral:rRNA from 1 species